GAGGAAAUUCCUUCAGGGAUGCUGUGACGGAAUGGCGAGAAGGGGGAAAGACGGCCCGACUGCAGUACGACCCUGGCCGAGAGUUGAUGCCCAAGGACGGGGUCAUCCACGGUCAGCUGGAAGUGCAUUACGAUGUCCAGAGAGCUCUCGAUGCCGGGGACAUUCAGAUCGAAGAUGGAUAUUUCGUCCACUUCUUUGCGCCCAUUGACCUUCAGUUUACCCCGAAGCACAUCACCUUUUGAUUGACACUUCCAGUCCAUGCUUGGCCACAAACUCGUUUCAGGU